ensembl:lncRNA
UGGGGCCCCAUCAUGGGCUUCUCUGAAGAAAAAAUGCCACGACCUACGGAUCUUUCAGUGUCUUACGUUAUUGUCUCUCUUAGUAGGGAGAGACCAUGAUGGGGGAUAAGCAGGUUGUUCAAUAGAACAGAAUUACCUGGUCGUCACUAUGAAGCAGAUGCCCCGGAGCUUGCUGCAGGCUUCUGUUGACUCGUCUCCUGGCCUGCAGCCGUCCCUGCCUGAGCCUGCCUCCCUGGACUGACCCCUGAAGAAGCUGGGUCUUUUGGGGAAGAGCCAAUAGCUUGUGCAACUGGAUAACAAAGGGGGGUGCUUACUGCUCACUUUACCUCUGGAAGACGGUGAAUACUGCCUUUCAAGCCUUGGAUUCAUUUCCUCUCCUGGAUCUAACGCUGGGCGAGACAACCACAGCUCCAGACAGCGUCAGGUGGAGCCAGCAGCAAGGCGACCUGAAUGAUUUGAACCUUGGGAUGAUUCUUAAUCCUUUCUAUGAAGAGAGUUUACAAAGCAAAACCAGUUCAAUGCUCAUGAUGGAUACUAUUGAAACUCUGAACUUGGGGGACCUUCAUAGCUCCAUCGUCUUAAUGCCGGUCAGCUGGCACAUGGCUUUUGCCCUUUGCUCUUCAUCUUAUGGCCUUGAGGAUAAAACUUUAUGUGCUGUAGAUGGCGAAGCAAGAAGAGUGGACGAGCCUGGUUCCUUGAGCAGCAGCGCCAGCCCCAGCCUCUCUAUCCACGGACUGCUUCUUAAGAAAACCAGCCAGCUGCAGACAAAGGAUCAGAUGGAGCUCCCGCCACUCCUGGUUGUCCUCACCAACUGCCCUCUUCACUAAUGCAUAUUCCCACAUUACCUGCCUGAACAGUGGUGCAGGAGCCAGAGAGGGGGAAUGAAAGUGAUGGAGGAGGAACAUACGUCCAGUAAGCCUCAAACUGUACCUUGCUAACAGCCUUGGGCAGGAGAGCAUGGAAGCUUAACAUCAAUUCCCCCAAAUUAUCCGAUUUGGAAAUGAGCGUGGUGGUGGUGCUUCUUUCUCCUCAUGGAAAUCACACAUGGCUUCAAGGAGUUUCACCUACACUGAAACUUAGAGACAGAUACGAUCUGUAGACUCCAAAACAUGUGUAAGGGCUGCCAAGAGCAGAAACCUCACAGGAAGAGGUGCAACAGUGUCUAGGGGACAGUGGCAGCAGGGCUUAGAAAGUGCAGGCAAACUACACUUCGUGAAGGUGAGUCACUCACCUGCCCCUUGUUUGCUCUGGCUGGGGAAGGAACUGGAGGUCCUAGGAUGGGCAGCAGAAGCAGUCGUGGACUUGGGUUGAUUCAGAGAAGCUGAGGAGGCAGAGUUUUCAGGAAGCAGUCCAUCUCUGUGGAAACAGAGAGAGAGAUUCUUUGGGAUUAAGAAUUCUGGAAGACUGUUCUUGCCCCCGCCCUGGUUGGAACCUCCUGCAAAAGGCUUUAUCUAGGACAGUUCAACCCAUAUGCUCUAUAAGUAAUGGGAAAAAAAAGUAGAAUAGAUUUGAUACAAACAUACUAUAAAACACAAAGACCAGUAAAUCAUGUCAACAGAACAUGCACCAGAAAAAUGUGGUCUGGAAGAGAUGAAAUUAUGAUCCAACUUUCCACCAUGAAUUAGAAACCAAACCAAACCAAAAAACCAUAACAAAACAAUUUGUUCUCUAAAGGAAAACCACAGAGCACAAAUGCAGGAGCUCAAAUAAAAGAUGACGAGGCAAUGGGAGGUGAUGAGAUACGACUAGAAGACUCAGGAAAGAAGGAGAAAAUGUAAAGCCAUCCCCAAAAUGAAGACAAAAUUGGAAGGAGAAAAAGGGAACAAAGCCACUGCAGAAAACACCGUAAGGGAAGCAAAAGGUAAAAAUAUGAAAUGCAAACUCAUGAAAUAGAGAUAAGGAGUUUAAGAGGAUUAGAGACAAAAUGGUAGUGCUAGCAGGAAGUCAAAGGAAAGCCAACUUGUACAAAGUUGGAGUGCCUGCAAAACAAUACAAUUAACAAAUAUUUUAAAAUAUAAUUCAAAACAUUUCCUAAAAUAAAGCAAGGCUUGAAUUUCCUUAUUGAAUGUUCAUACCACUUACAAGGGAAACCUGAUUCCGGACAGUCACCACAUGAGACAUUGCCUCGUCAAGUUAUUGGACGUAAAGUAUGCUUUGGGAAGUAAAGCACAAAAUAUUAAGUCACUUUCAAAGAGCAAAAAAAUCAGGUUGAACUCAGACUUCGCCAAAACAGCAUUUAACAUUAGAAGAGAAUAGAGAAACAUUUAGAAGAUAUUUAAGGAAAGUGCAAACCAAGACUUUUAUAUCGUGCAAGCUGUUGAACAAUUGGAAAGGCUGUAACAAACUGUUUGAACAUGCGAGAGCUCAGAAAGUGUCGUUCCCAUGAACCCUUCUUGAGGAAACAACCAGAAAAUGAACUUCGGCCAACUGAGAGUCAACUACAGAAACUUUAGCCAAGUCUGUCUGUAAGCGCGGAUUAUAUUUAGGUUUAGAUCUAACAGUAAAUGUGAUGUGGGGAUUGGAGUACAAAGUAGAGUGUAAAUGUUGUAUGCUCUGACAAUGUAGAAAUAAUACAACUAACCAAAAUUGGCAUGGGAAAGGGGUAAAAGAUGGCAGGGAGUUGAGUAAUUGCCUUACCUGUAAAAUCGGAGAGACGAAGGAGAGAAUUUAAAGCUAAAGGAUCAAUGGACAUAUAUAAACAUUUUCAAGAGUCCAAAGUAAAAACUAAUAUGGAUAGUAUUAUUGACUAAAGUCAGGAAGUGGAGGAGAGGUAAGAGAAAGGGAAGGAAAUACACAUUAAUUUUAUUAUUUCUCGACGUGUUUAAAAAGCAGAUGCUCAAAGGUUCUCUAAGGUGACAAAAUUAUGAAGACAAUCAUCAGAACAAUAUUACAAAUCCUCCUAAAUAUCAGAACUUCUCUUCUCUUGAGGCCUUUCUCCUCUCCUCUCUUUUUCCUCCCUGGCCUGACCCCCCCAGAAAACAAAUAGACUUAUAUGGAAAGAUUUUAAAACGUUAUAUUCAGAGAACAAAAUAGUAUGGCAUAGAUAAGCUCAAACUCAUCUAUCACAUCAACAAAUCUAAAUAAGAUUAACUUGUACAAAUGGGAUCAAAUGGUUUUCACAUUAUGUCAUAAACUACAAUCCAAUUUUAUGCUAUUUAAAAGCAACAUAUAUUGGGGCUGGUCCAGUGUCUUAGUGGUUGGGUUCUCAUGCUCUGCUUUGGCAGCCCAGGGUUUGUGGGUUCGGAUCCUGGGUGCAGACCUACCCACUGUUCAUCAAACCACGCUGUGGUGGCAUCCCACACACAAAAUAGAGGAAGAUUGGCACAGAUGUUAGCUCAGCGACAAUUCUCUACACCAAAAAAAAGCAACAUACCUAAAACAGUGAACCAUAAAGGUUGAAAAUGAAGAGGAGGAACAAUGUGUGCCAGGCAAGCAAAAACCAAAAAAAAGUAAGUGUUGUCAGUUUACCUUCAAAGAAGAGGAAAUUCAGGGCAAAACCAUUAAAUGAGACAAAAGAGGGGACAUUAUAAUGCUGAGCCAUACUUCACACAACCAAGAAAGAAUAGUUAACAAAUAUCUGUGCGUAAAAUCACGUAGCAACAAUAUUCAUAAGGCAGAAAUUACAGAAGAUAUAAGGAGAAACAGAAACACACUUCUAGUAGGAAACUUUUUACAACCUUAUUAAUUCAUGUCAGAAUUAAUGUAAAUAACAAAAAUAAGUAAAAAUUAAGAAAGUUGAUCUGAUUGAUCUAUGUCAAAAUCUAUGUCCUGAAAAUGGAGAAUUUACUUUCUUUUCAAGAGUCAAUGAAACACAAGAGUCAAUGAAACACCCAUGAAAACUGAGCACAUAAUUGGUGAUAAUGAAAAUCUCAAAAAUUCCCAAAAGUAGGAGGAGCACAGGAAAACACUCUGAUCAUGAUACGGUUAACCUAGACAUUGGUAACAAAAUAGAGAGACGGAAAAAGAUUCUUCUAUCUGAAAUUUUAAAAAAGAUAAGCAACUCUAUCCUAAACAUCUAUUAGGUCAAAAAAGAAACACAUACAAAAAUUGCAGAAAUUUUAGAAAACAGUGACAAUUGAAAAAAACUAUACAACAGAACCUGUGAGUUUUAGUGAGCUCAAAGGAAAAUGCAUAUCCUUAAAUAUUCAUGUCAAUAAAAAUAGAAAGAAUAAAACCAUUUUAAACAUCUAAGUCCAUUU